rnacentral:lncRNA from 1 species
GUGAAGACACAGAAGGAGAUUGUCACAGACAGGGCAGAACCAUCUACCUUCCCUCCCAUCACCACAUCACUGGAGACCAAAACUCUCCCCACCCUUUAGGGACGCAAGUCGCAAAACAGCAGAGGGUUCACAGAUACAUGGGACACAAUUGAGUUCAUAGUCUUCACUGGAGAGCAAAUGAGGACAGGAAGAUAGAGACCAGACCUGGCAACCCAGUUGCUUUGUGAGUUUUCCACAAAUAUAUUCAGCUAGGGAGGAGAAACAAAAAAAAAUGCAGAUUGGAGAUAAGCCCAGGUUGGAAUCCAAGAAAACUAGAACAAUAGGACCCUUGGUCCACAAACGACAAAUUGAUGGUGUCCUGUGCUCUCCUUCCUAAGACAGAGAAGGAGCCUCGUAUAUCCAACAAUCGUCUUCAAAGAAGGUUAAGAUACAAUUACUCAUUGGAAGCAUCUGGCAGACUUGCGCCAAGGCUAGGCAUCAUUCUGGGUACUGAGGAAAGAAAAAUGGACAAGACUCACUCCUGCCUUUGAGAAGCUCAGAGUCCAGUGAGGGAAAC